rnacentral:rRNA from 1 species
GGACGAACGCUGGCGGCGUGCUUAACACAUGCAAGUCGAACGGGAGUAUUGAAGAAGCUUGCUUUAGAGAUACUUUAGUGGCGGACGGGUGAGUAACGCGUGAGGAGCUGUCCUAUGCAGGGGGACAACAGCUGGAAACGGCUGCUAAUACCCCAUAAGCCGAGAGGUAUAAGGAUCAAUCCGGCAGAAGAGGUACUCUCGUCCUAUCAGCUAGUAGGUGAGGUAACGGCUCACCUAGGCGAAUACGGGUAGCCGGCCUGAGAGGGCGAACGGCCACUCUGGAACUGAGAUACGGUCCAGACUCCUACGGGAGGCAGCACUGGGGAAUAUUGGGCAAUGGGGGAAACCCUGACCCAGCGACGCCGCGUGGGUGAAGAAAUCCUUCGGGAUGUAAAGCCCUGUUGUCUGGGAAGAGCGGAAGACGGUACCAUACGA